rnacentral:rRNA from 1 species
CUACGAAGGGGGCUAGCGUUGUUCGGAUUUACUGGGCGUAAAGCGCACGUAGGCGGAUUGAUUAGUUAGGGGUGAAAUCCCGAGGCUCAACCUCGGAACUGCCUUUAAUACUGUCAAUCUCGAGACCGGAAGAGGUGAGUGGAACUCCUAGUGUAGAGGUGGAAUUCGUAGAUAUUAGGAAGAACACCAGUGGCGAAGGCGGCUCACUGGUCCGGUACUGACGCUGAGGUGCGAAAGCGUGGGGAGCGAACAGGAUUAGAAACCCCAGUAGUCC